UUAUUAAGGUUAAAAAUAAAUUUAUGAAAAAAUUGGAGGUACAGCAUAAAACACUCUUAGGUUAUUGAGAGUCAGAGAACUCAGAAGCCGGAGAGCGAGAUACAAGAAAUUCGAACCUAGGGUUGCCGAACAAGGGGAAAUCGAACAAGAAGAAGAACGACCACAGAAAGAAAUGAGUUGUUCAACAGAUUUCGAAACCAUGCUCGAGCAGCUCAGCCACCGCAUAAAAGAAAAACAAAGAGAAAGUUCGAAUUUGAUUUUCAUUAAUAAGAUGGUUACUGAACGAAUUGAACAGGAUUUGAUUUUCAUUAAAAAGAUGGUUAUUGAACGAAUUGAACAGGAGAAGUUUAUGACUAGUAUAUGGGAAGACUGUCAGAAACUAAAGUCAGUAAGGAAGCAGGAAGAAUCAAAAAGGAAAUACAAGAGCUGAAAGAAGAAAUUAAAAGAAUAAAGGAAGAAAUACAAGAACUGAAAAAAGAAUUUAAAACAAUGAAGACUGACAUGGACGAAUUCAAGAAGAGUAACAAAAAAGCAUUGGAUUCGAUGAUGGCAAAACUAACUCAAUUAGUGCCAUCUACAUAGAGAGGCUUAUUGUAUUGAAAUUUUGGGAUGUAUAUAGACACGCUUAUUGUAUUGAAAUUUUGGGAUCUACAUAGACAUACUUAUUGUAUUGAAAUUUUGGGAUCUACAUA